AUAUCAUCUUGGGGGUGCUCCGCGCCGGUACGUGGGGCUGAGAUCAUACCCUUGUAACUUGAUGCAGGUAAUGCUGACGCAAGGAAAAGAUGAAGCCAGUAAA
rnacentral:ncRNA from 2 species